ACCCGGAUGACGAGUCCAAAAUAGGAUGAAAUACGCAUCUUAGAU
rnacentral:hammerhead_ribozyme from 1 species